rnacentral:rRNA from 1 species
GAUGAACGCUGGCGGCGUGCCUAAUACAUGCAAGUCGAGCGAACGGACGAGAAGCUUGCUUCUCUGAUGUUAGCGGCGGACGGGUGAGUAGCACGUGGAUAACCUACCUAUAAGACUGGGAUAACUUCGGGAAACCGGAGCUAAUACCGGAUAAUAUUUUGAACCGCAUGGUUCAAAAGUGAAAGACGGUCUUGCUGUCACUUAUAGAUGGAUCCGCGCUGCAUUAGCUAGUUGGUAAGGUAACGGCUUACCAAGGCAACGAUGCAUAGCCGACCUGAGAGGGUGAUCGGCCACACUGGAACUGAGACACGGUCCAGACUCCUACGGGAGGCAGCAGUAGGGAAUCUUCCGCAAUGGGCGAAAGCCUGACGGAGCAACGCCGCGUGAGUGAUGAAGGUCUUCGGAUCGUAAAACUCUGUUAUUAGGGAAGAACAUAUGUGUAAGUAACUGUGCACAUCUUGACGGUACCUAAUCAGAAAGCCACGGCUAACUACGUGCCAGCAGCCGCGGUAAUACGUAGGUGGCAAGCGUUAUCCGGAAUUAUUGGGCGUAAAGCGCGCGUAGGCGGCUUUUUAAGUCUGAUGUGAAAGCCCACGGCUCAACCGUGGAGGGUCAUUGGAAACUGGAAAACUUGAGUGCAGAAGAGGAAAGUGGAAUUCCAUGUGUAGCGGUGAAAUGCGCAGAGAUAUGGAGGAACACCAGUGGCGAAGGCGACUUUCUGGUCUGUAACUGACGCUGAUGUGCGAAAGCGUGGGGAUCAAACAGGAUUAGAUACCCUGGUAGUCCACGCCGUAAACGAUGAGUGCUAAGUGUUAGGGGGUUUCCGCCCCUUAGUGCUGCAGCUAACGCAUUAAGCACUCCGCCUGGGGAGUACGACCGCAAGGUUGAAACUCAAAGGAAUUGACGGGGACCCGCACAAGCGGUGGAGCAUGUGGUUUAAUUCGAAGCAACGCGAAGAACCUUACCAAAUCUUGACAUCCUUUGACAACUCUAGAGAUAGAGCCUUCCCCUUCGGGGGGGCAAAGUGACAGGUGGUGCAUGGUUGUCGUCAGCUCGUGUCGUGAGAUGUUGGGUUAAGUCCCGCAACGAGCGCAACCCUUAAGCUUAGUUGCCAUCAUUAAGUUGGGCACUCUAAGUUGACUGCCGGUGACAAACCGGAGGAAGGUGGGGAUGACGUCAAAUCAUCAUGCCCCUUAUGAUUUGGGCUACACACGUGCUACAAUGGACAAUACAAAGGGCAGCGAAACCGCGAGGUCAAGCAAAUCCCAUAAAGUUGUUCUCAGUUCGGAUUGUAGUCUGCAACUCGACUACAUGAAGCUGGAAUCGCUAGUAAUCGUAGAUCAGCAUGCUACGGUGAAUACGUUCCCGGGUCU